CCGUGAGUCAGCAACCAAAAUAAAACUCGUCAUCGAGAGCCAGUCUGGGAAGUGAAUGGCGAUAUGCCGGUUGCCGGCCUACCCAAAACAAUAUCCUGCUGUGUUCUGUUUAUUAUAUGAUUAAUGUGCAUCUGCGGCAGAUGUAGAUGUACUUCGCUUCAAUUUAAAAAGAGAGUGGGUCAAGUGCAGUCAAAAGUGAAAUUAACGUUUGGCUGCCCUUGGUGCAUCGAGAGUACAUGCGAAAAGUAUAACGUGUGGGCAUACCCAACUUAAUCGUUCUUUACUGCUUCAGCAUAUGAUUGUCAUGCCGUUCAGCUGCAGGUUGGUUUGACUAAAUAAAUGUUUGCCCCUAGACGAUUCAUAAUUGAUUUCUGUUUUAUAAUCUAACAGCAGGUGCGCAAAAUUGGAGCAGCAAUACCCACGUUAUUCAGUGGCUUAGUUGUCUGGGUAUCUACGACUGGGCGUAAAAAUUGCGUGUUUGCGUCUCACUGCAAACUGGCUGUUGCCAUCGAUUCCCCCACACAAACAGAAUUAAAGAAAAAAUACAAAAUUCAUUAAAAAUUCAACAUUGCUGACUAAUUGUUAAUUUGGCUGUCAUGUCAAAUAAAUCAUAGGACACGACAAAAAUUAAACGAAAACGCGACACGAAAAAGUGUUGAACCUCCUUGUGGACCCAAAAAGAGAUGCCAUAUCCUAGAGACCAACACAGAUCCCACAAUAUCCACACAUAAGUAUGUAU
rnacentral:lncRNA from 1 species